AGUGAACGCUGGCGGUAGGCCUAACACAUGCAAGUCGAACGGCAGCACAGAGGAGCUUGCUCCUUGGGUGGCGAGUGGCGGACGGGUGAGGAAUACAUCGGAAUCUACCCCGUCGUGGGGGAUAACGUAGGGAAACUUACGCUAAUACCGCAUACGACCUACGGGUGAAAGCAGGGGACCUUCGGGCCUUGCGCGAUUGAAUGAGCCGAUGUCGGAUUAGCUAGUUGGCGGGGUAAAGGCCCACCAAGGCGACGAUCCGUAGCUGGUCUGAGAGGAUGAUCAGCCACACUGGAACGGAGACACGGUCCAGACUCCUACGGGAGGCAGCAGUGGGGAAUAUUGGACAAUGGGCGCAAGCCUGAUCCAGCCAUACCGCGUGGGUGAAGAAGGCCUUCGGGUUGUAAAGCCCUUUUGUUGGGAAAGAAAUCCAGCUGGCUAAUACCCGGUUGGGAUGACGGUACCCGAAGAAUAAGCACCGGCUAACUUCGUGCCAGCCGCCGCAGUAA
rnacentral:rRNA from 1 species